ACGCAAAAUUGGAAUUCUAUUUCAAUGAUGUAACUCUUCCCCUCUUCGCUCUCAGUUCUCUCCACAACCCAGACCAUCUUCUCCCACAACUCAACGCCUCCACCUCCUCCAGCACCACCCAUCUCUCACUCACGACUGUUUAUCCCCUUCUCUCACCAUCAGUUCUUCUCUCUCACAACCUGUGGUUCUUCUCAGAUUCUACUCUCAGUUCGCAUUGCCAAUGGAGUCGGCCGAUCUAUUUUCUUUUUUUCUCCCCGAUAUGGGUUUUGGUCUUAAUAGCCCCCAUCACCAGUCCUUUAUUACCGGUCACAACUAACGUCCUUCGCCGGCACCGCUAGAAAGAUUUCACCGACCGUCAUCAGCUGCCAUCACCACCGCCGGUAGUAACCGAAAAUAAAUAUUUUAAAAAACCCCAACAGACCCCACUAGCCAUCACCUCGUGGGUACCAUGGCUGAAUUCAUCUUCAAAAUCGAUUGCAAUGGUGCGGCAUUGAUGGAUUUGUGAAACCACAAAGUGGGGAGAACCAUAGAAGAUCAAAUUCUACUUGAGCUUUGUCUCUUUAAAGAAUGUCAUUGGCAGCUUGGGGGAGGUUUGAUAUUGUGGGUCUUCUAAGAUAGAAGUUCAAUAGCAGUUUUGGGUAUAUGGGGACAACCAAAGAUGCAAUGGACAUAGAUUAUGAAUCAAUCUUUUGCUAUGUUGUUAACAACCACACCAUUGUUCAAAUGAACUCACAAAACACCGGUGCCACGAGUACACAAUUGAAGAGCUCAUCACAAAGAGCUUCAACAACGUCGACAUUGUCCUCUUUAGCAAUCAGAUUGGCCAGAUGAAUAUGGAGAAAGGUACAUCAUGGACAACAGUACCUAAUCUUUCUCCCUCUCUCUUUGGUAUUGGAACACCAAUGUUUCACUUUUUUUAAAUUUUUUUUCCUUUUGGGUUUUCAAUUCUGGCAGAUUAUUAUUGGAACACCAAUGUUUGAAGAAAUGCUUAAACUGAACUUUGGAUUGGAUGUGUGGCACCCAAUUGUUUAUGCACGUACUAUGCUAUUUACAGAUUUCUUUUAAAUUUUGUUGUGAAUUGUGAUAUCAAUAUUUGGUUAAGAUUAAUACUUUGAGC